AGCGAACGCUGGCGGCAGGCUUAACACAUGCAAGUCGAGCGGGCACUUUCGGGUGUCAGCGGCGGACGGGUGAGUAACGCGUGGGAACGUGCCCUCUGGUUCGGAAUAACUCAGGGAAACUUGAGCUAAUACCGGAUACGCCCUUUUGGGGAAAGGCCUGCUGCCGGAGGAUCGGCCCGCGUCUGAUUAGCUAGUUGGUGAGGUAACGGCUCACCAAGGCGACGAUCAGUAGCUGGUCUGAGAGGAUGAUCAGCCACACUGGGACUGAGACACGGCCCAGACUCCUACGGGAGGCAGCAGUGGGGAAUAUUGGACAAUGGGCGCAAGCCUGAUCCAGCCAUGCCGCGUGAGUGAUGAAGGCCUUAGGGUUGUAAAGCUCUUUUAUCCGGGACGAUAAUGACGGUACCGGAGGAAUAAGCCCCGGCUAACUUCGUG
rnacentral:rRNA from 1 species